rnacentral:misc_RNA from 1 species
UUGUACGUGUAAAUUUUUUUAUACUGAAAAAUUGAAUGUUCUCUGCUCUCUGAAAGCAGGAAGCAGGUGCAUCUCAUGAUAGAUGAAGAAAUUUUAUACAUCAGUAACAUGGCAAUUCCUUUUUCUAUAUAAAUAAAUGCAGGCAUCCCAAUUUUUGAUGCUGCUGCAUCAAGAUAUAACUCCUCAAUUGUUUUUUACCAGAAAACUCUGAAAGUUCAAUAGUACAGAAAAUGAAAGCAUUGUAUGGGGCUAUCUCCUGUAAGCUAGCCAGCGCAACCGGUUCAAUAACAUGUCCAUCAUGCAUCAAGAAUCAAGAAUCAUGCACUUGCCUAGAGUCAUGGCUUCAAAUUUCUCUAUUCCUGGCAAAUAGAUUUGCUUAUUCUGCAAUUCGGGGCUCCUGCUAGUCUCUUUGUAUGGGAUUAUCUCCGGUAAGCCAGCCAGCUCAUCCGAUUCAAUAUCACGUCCAUCAUGCAUCAGGAAUCAAGAAUCAUGCACUUGUCUGGAGUCAUGGCUUCAAAUUUCUGCAUUCCUAGUAAAUAGAUUUGCUUAGUCCCCAGUUUGGGGCUCCUGCUAGUCUUUUUUGUCUAUUGGAGUGACAUCCAUGAUCCAUUCCAGCUGCAAACUUUCCAAGAAGUCAUUGCUUCAAAUUCCUGCAUUCCUGGUUAAUUACUUGAACUUGUUUUGCUGGAAGCCAUUCUUUGUUUGCAUGGAGGACUAAAUCCAUGCUUGAAACUAAGAUUUUUUAAAACUCAAAAAAUUGGAUAUCAGUAUUCACAAAAAACUAUGUUCUAAUGUCAAAGUGAACCUGGCCAUCGUCCGAAGAUAGACCCUUGUUCACUCAUGCUUUCUCCUGCCAAUCUCCUCAUUCUCUGCCAUAAAUGUCUGCCCCUCCCUGUUCUCAAUGGACCCGAGCUAGAGGAUCUCCUAAAUGAUUCUGAUGCCUGCCUCCCAUACCUGGCUGACGUACUGAACAAAUCUGACAUCGAUAGUCCCCUCUCCAUGUCUGGCUCAGAAGCAUAAUCUGGUACUAUAAUUUGGUUUUCAAAAGGAUCUGGCAGAUGUCCUGAGCCUGCACCGACUCCAGCAUCCAUAUCAACAGAUAAAUCCACACUGGAACUUCCUGAACCUACUUCUUUUGCCUCAUCACACUCAUUACAUACUAGUUUUAAGGCCUGUACAACCUCCCCCAUAAAAGGGCGGUGUGAAACCUCCGGUUGCACACACAUUGAAGCAAUAGCUGCUACCUUGGCUACACUGUCAAAAGGGACAUCAUGUACCAGAGAUGGAUCAAUAAUUGUUUCCAGCCCUUGUUUACUUGUUAAAUGCGGACGGGCCCAUGCAACUAGAUUCUCUUGACCAGGUGGCUGUGACAUGUCAACUGGCUUUCUUCCGGUUAAGAGCUCCAGAAGGACUACACCAUAGCUAUAUACAUCACUCUUUACAAGAAGAUGACCAGUCAUUGCAUACUCUGGAGCCACAUAUCCAAAAGUUCCCAUCACACGGGUUGAUAUGUGUCUGUCCUCCUCAUCCAAGGCUGUUCGAGCCAAACCAAAGUCAGACACUUUUGGUGUGAAAUCACGUUCCAACAAGAUGUUGCUAGCCUUGAAGUCCCUGUGUAUGACACGGGGACUUGAAUCCUCAUGUAGAUAAGCUAGACCUCGAGCUGCACCAAGUGCUAUCUUGAUCCGUGCAUCCCAAUCAAGUGGAGCAGAUUCCUUAUCAGCCCCAUGCAAAUGAGAUUCCACACUGCCAUUUGGUACAAGUUCAUACACCAAGCUGCGUGCACGCUCCUCUAUACAUAUACCAAUCAACUUGACCAGAUUUCUGUGAUGAAGACGGCUAAGCAUUUCGAUCUCUGCCAAGAAUUCGCGACCACCUUCAUGAUUAUCCCUUUUCAGAACUUUCACUGCCACUUUGGUCCCAUCUUCAAGAGUACCACUGUAAACACGCCCAAAGCCGCCUUCCCCGAGUAUUCUUGAAGCAUCAAAGUUAUUUGUAGCUCUUUCUAUGUCAAUUGUGCUGAAGCUCUUUGCUGAUCCCGUAUAAGGUGCAGCACUAGAUGCAAAUGACAAGGAAACAGAACUGAGACCACUUCCAAUCAUUGAUGCAGUUGUACCUGAUGGUUUUGCUAUUGAAGGCGGCAAAGGAUGUGGAGUUGGUGUAGGUUGGCUUGUGCGGCCUCUAUGCCUAACCAGCAAGAACCAAACAACAGCAGAGCAUAAAACUAGUGCUACAGAGGCUGAGAGGGCAAUGAUAGCAAUUAUGCCACCACCAAGCCCAUCAUUUUGCUGCCUUUUAUGUACAUCAACCCCAAGUGGCUUUAUUGCCCUUGCAUUGUUGUCGUUGCCAGAAUAUGGCCCAUUAUCUAUUAUAGUAAUGCCAGAAGGUGGAGAUGGGGGCAAACCUGGAUAUCGCACAUAUAACACUUCAUAAUCACCAAAAAAUGAAACUUUUAUUACUACUUGUUUAUGCCAGAAUCUCUGAUAAGUCAAAAAGGCAGUUGUGUUAUCAAAUCUUUUUCCCAAGGGAACCAAGUCAAUGAGGACAAUGGUCUUCUCUGGUUGCUGGCUAGCAGCAUUGGCUCCCAUAAUUCGAACUUGACUUUGUCUCAUAAAAACGCCAGCCGAAAUUUCCUGAGCAAGCUCUGAAACCAAAGGGAAAAAGGUAUAUAAUGCAACACCAAGUUGCAGUCCAACUUGCAUAGGCAACACACAUCCACAUGGAGAUCCAGGUGGAGUAUUUGUGUAUGGCUCCACGCAAAUGGUUGCUGAGCAAUCUUCAUUAGGAGGUGGAGGUGGCAAUGCUUGAACUUUGGGGGGAAGAGGCAUUUUUGGACUCCUUGAUGAAGACCCAGAUGGAGAAACUUUAGGGGGAAGAACAGGCACUUGAAAAAUACAAUUGUAAUCAAAAGGGGAGCGAUUAAGCAUAUAACAAGGGGGAUAGUGAUACAUAAAAUUCACAGCUCACAAGUGGUAUUUGAUAAUUUUAAUAGGAAAUCAAAAGCAAGCUCAGUUUUUCUUACUUGUGGUCCAGCCAGAUGCCGCUGUUGGAGAUGGUGAAGAAGCAGGAGAGACACUGGUAACUGGUGUAGAAAAGGGAUAAUGUGAUGGAGAAGCUGAAGAUCCUGGACUAAGCGGUGGAGAAGCAUAGUGUGUUCGCCUAUUUGUUGGAAGAAACGAUGGAGAGAUAAAUGGACCUUGCUGUUCUGAAGGGGGAGGAGAUAAUGAAGGAGCAGGGCUAUUCAUUUUGGUCCUUGCUUGGUUCUGCCUAUGAAAUGGAAUGAAAGGUGAAGAUGCAGGAGAAUGGCGCUCUUUAUUUAAGGGAGAGGUAGGAGAUGAAAAAGAUGGAACAGAAUCAUCAUUGGAGUGUCUCAAGGCUUUGUGAGUAGGAGCCACAGAAGAAAAGGAACCUUUGGCUGGGGAAUGGUUCGCAGGUGGUAAAGCUUUGGAUGUUUCAUCUGGUGGUGCAGCAACAGGAAUUCCGUCUCCUUUCCAGUCAAUGCUUGGGGAAGGAGUAGAUGCAUGAGACAUAUCAGGACCUGGUAAUGUAGAAGGCACUUCUCCAGGCAUGAUAGGUUGAAUUUCUGGUGAACUUUGCGGCAAUUGUCCUAUUGGUGAUACAACUGGAACAGGUGACGCAAAUGGCAUUAUUGCUGGUGUAAUUGGAUGGAAUGAUGGCUUGUCUCGUCCCAAUUUCCUCGGUGGAGAUUCAACUGUUGCAACUGACUUUGGUACAGGAGCGCCACUAAAUGAUGUAUUACCAUGAUGAGUACUAGGUGGCGAAAUUUCAGGUGCGCUAGGGUGGAUGAUCGGGGAAGUAGCAGGUGAACUUGGAUGGAUGAUUGGUGAAUCAUCAGGCAAAUUCUUUGAAGGUGCUGUGACUGGCACAGAAACAGGAGUAUAUCUAAUUGGUUUGUUUCCUUGAGAAGCAUUCGGAGGCAUGGCUGCUUCAUGUCCUUCAGCAAUUGAUGGUGGAGGCGCAAUAUUAUAUGGUGGAGAUACAAUGGGAAUACUUGGUGACAGUAAUGGCCCAUGUCCUUUAAAAAUUAAUGGUGGAGGAGCCAUUUUAUCCGGUGUCCUUGCUAUUGGACUGCUACUGCUAGGUGAGUACGAUGGUGCAAGCCCUCUAAUUUCUUGUGGCAAAGGGGCAGGCAUGGUUGGUGGUAAUGCAAGUGAAGGAGGUAAAUUUGUUCCAUUUGGCAGAGAUACUGAGGUCGGCACAUUGCUGCUGAAUGGACUUCUAAUAGGAGCAGGUGUUCCUUCUGUAGGAGAAAUCUCAGAAAAAAUUGCUGGAGAUGGGGAAAAUUUGUAUCCUGUAGAUCCUUGAACAGUGAAAACAAACCCAAUGACACAAAGUUUCAACAACAGCUGAAAAAUGGCUGGCACCACCGGACCCAUCCCAUAAAGCACCAAAUCUCACAGCUCCCUCGAUGAUGAUAGAGAAAUUAAUUUAAAAAAAAAAAGAAAGAAAAGAAAGAUAAGAAAACAACAUAUCAUUUGUCAGCACAGAUAAAAAUUCAUUCUUCUUCAUCUAAUUCUUCCAUCACCAAAACUUAAUUGGCAGAUCAAAUAGUUACAAAGCAGGCAAUGAAGAAGAAUGCACUAGAGUUGCACCAAGAAGGUUAUUGCACAGACU